AACAUCACAGACCUGGCGUAUUCCCUGCUGGUGAGCGGGGCUCUGAAGACUCAUCUGUACAAUGUGGCACCAGAGAUGCCAAGUCUAGUGAACUUCCAACAGACCUUCUGUUAUCUGAUGCAGGAGUUCCACAGGUUCUGGAUCGAGGAAGACCCUUGUGACAUCAUGGAGUUUAACCGCGUGCGCACCAAGUUCUACAAGCGCAUCCUGAAGCAGCUGAAGAACCCUGACAUGGCACUGUGUCCUCACUUCACGGCCUCGGACCUUCACCUGGUCAACCUGUAGCUUCUCACUCAUCUCAAAUCUAGUGACACUUCACCUUCUCAUCCUUAAAGCCCAUGUCUCAUUACUGCCAACUGCUCAGCUGGUCUUCUUCUCACACAUUCUCUCACCAAUGUCUCCUUCAGCCUAUCUAACCAGAAACAACUGAAGAUCACCAGCACUGCUGAAGACCAUGUUGAUUGUAUGUGCGCAUGGCAACAGUGCACCUCACAACGAUUGUGAUAUUUACAGCUACUGUAUGCUGAAGUCAGCAUCUGAAUGUGGAUCGGAGGGAGAUUGGACAGGGCUCCCUAUCCACCAGUAGGUCGAGCUGUUGGUACAUAUUAGGUAAGACAGUGAGCUUCAGGCAUGCGAGAGUUUCGACCCACAUCCACCGCAGAAGGCUGCACUGAUACCAGGCACACUUAGAAACAGGUCGCCCUUGUUUGUAGUCAGUAUCAUACUUUUUCAGCUCAUAUAUGACGGAUAACCUUUCUUUACUUAUUGUGAAUCGGUUAAAGGAAUAUCGAAGGUUCAGUGCAAAUUCAGCUCAAUCAACAGCACUUAUGCUAUAAUGUUGAUUACCAAAAAAUAAUAUUAACCUCUCUCUGCUUUUCUUUAAAAAAAAAAAGUAAAAUCUGCUUUUACAGUGAGGUUCACACAGAUUUUGCUGUUAAAAACACGAGGAAUGCCGUGUCAUGUGUGAGACGUUGCAAAAGACGCGAGACAUGAGCGCAACAGUUAAAGAUAUCCGUCUAGCGUGUGUUUAAAAUGAAAAAUAAUGGAAAAUAGGCGUUUUGUGUGAACGGCCCCUUACAAUGAAAUGAAUGGAACCAAUUUGUAAAGUGUAGCACAAGAUGUAAACAAUAUACGUUAACAUGAUUUUAGUGUAAAAAAAAAACAAAACACUUAUUAUUCUUUUCUGUGUUUCAAAUUUUAGAACAUCGGUUAAUACAAUGAUUUAAAUAGCUUGACAACUUUAACUUUAAGUGGUUUUAUAAUAUUGUUAGCCUCAUUUUCUUUUAAAUAGAAAACAAAUGGAAGAGUCAACAUUAUUUUUUGUGCUAAUCAACAUGCUGUUAAUUAACUAACUUGCACUGAACCCGGAAAAAUCCAUUAAACGGAAAUGGUUUCUGCUUGCCGCAUUAACAGAUAAUCAUAAGUUCAUAACCUUCAUCAUGUCAUAUUCUGAAUUCUUCUAUCAAAUACUUACAUAGCCGACUAUUUGUUGCCAAGAAGCAGAGCUUAAAAUUGAAUAUUUACUUGCCAAAUAUGGUAGGAUAAUGUGUGUUUUGUGAAUGUUAUCAUGCAGAGCACAUGAUUGUUUCACAAAUGUAUUAGUGUUGAUGUAAACAAAUGUGGAAUGUUCCAUUGUUCUGUUCUAGCACCAAAGCAAUAAGUGACGUUUAGAACAGUUAGUAGAACAGUCUUGUUUUCUUUUGCACAAGUCGUGCCUCUAUUGUGUUACCAUUGUGAGUGACACUCAUUAGAAUAAUUCAUGUAUAGUUCUAAAGAUUAGUGUGAGUAUUCCAGGCUUUUAUUUGAUCUCUUCUGCAUUUAUUGAACUUUUUUACAGUUGUGUCACAACACAAAUGCAUGUUUCUCUUUUAAGUUAGUCCAUUACCACGAGGUCACAGGGUUUGCAUGAUGAUUUACUUUUUGCCUGCAAAAUAAUUGUGUUAUCAGAAUGUCACUUAAUUUCAAAGUCGUUGCAAUGAAUGUCUAUGCUAUCUGGCAGUGUUAAGCAGCUUCUUUUUAAUAGCUAUUGUUUGAAUUGUGUUUCCACAUGAUUUUUAAUGUGUACAGCGUGUCAUAUAUUUGCCAUUGCAGCACUUUUACAGAUAAAGCACUUGCUGUACAUAAAGCGUUCAAGGUGAAAAACAUUGAAACAUUAUUACAUUAUUAAAGCUCUUCAUUAUGCAUGGCUGAA